rnacentral:rRNA from 1 species
GAUGAACGCUGGCGGCGUGCCUAAUACAUGCAAGUCGAGCGAACAGAUGAGAAGCUUGCUACUCUGAUGUUAGCGGCGGACGGGUGAGUAACACGUGGGUAACCUACCUAUAAGACUGGGAUAACUCCGGGAAACCGGGGCUAAUCCCGUAUAAUAUUUUGCACCGCAUGGUUCAAUAGUGAAAGACGGUUUCGGCUGUAACUUAUAGAUGGACUCGCGCCGGAUUAGCUAGUUGGUAAGGUAAUGGCUUACCAAGGCGACGAUACGUAGCCGACCUGAGAGGGUGAUCGGCCACACUGGAACUGAGACACGGUCCAGACUCCUACGGGAGGCAGCAGUAGGGAAUCUUCCGCAAUGGGCGAAAGCCUGACGGAGCAACGCCGCGUGAGUGAUGAAGGUCUUCGGGUCGUAAAACUCUGUUGUUAGGGAAGAACAAAUUUGUUAGUAACUGAACAAGUCUUGACGGUACCUAACCAGAAAGCCACGGCUAACUACGUGCCAGCAGCCGCGGUAA